UCGAGAAUUUUUCUCAAUGGGGGCAACCCUGAAGGAGCGACGCCGCGUGGAGGAUGAAGGUCUUCGGAUCGUAAACUCCUGUCAUUGGUGAACAAGGCCCACACAGUAACUGGUGUUGGGAUUGAUAGUAGCCGAAGAGGAAGAGACGGCUAACUCUGUGCCAGCAGCCGCGGUAAUACAGAGGUCUCAAGCGUUGUUCGGAUUCAUCGGGCGUAAAGGGUGCGUAGGUGGCGAGGUAAGUCUGGUGUGAAAUCCCGGGGCUCAACCCCGGAACUGCACUGGAUACUGCCCUGCUUGAGUACUGGAGAGGAGAUUGGAAUUUACGGUGUAGCAGUGAAAUGCGUAGAUAUCGUAAGGAAGACCAGUGGCGAAGGCGAAUCUCUGGACAGUUACUGACACUGAGGCACGAAGGCCAGGGGAGCAAACGGGAUUAGAUACCCGGUAGUCCUGGCAGUAAACGGUGCGCGUUUGGUGUGGGAGGAA
rnacentral:rRNA from 1 species